rnacentral:rRNA from 1 species
GGGCCCGCACAAGCGGUGGAGUAUGUGGUUUAAUUCGAUGCAACGCGAAGAACCUUACCAGGGUUUGACAUCCUGCGAAUCUCUUGGAAACGAGAGAGUGCCUUCGGGGACGCAGUGACAGGUGCUGCAUGGCUGUCGUCAGCUCGUGUCGUGAGAUGUUCGGUUAAGUCCGGCAACGAGCGCAACCCUUGUCCUUAUUUGCCAUCAUUUAGUUGGGCACUCUAGAGAGACUGCCGGUGAUAAACCGGAGGAAGGUGUGGAUGACGUCAAGUCAUCAUGCCCCUUACAUCCUGGGCUACACACGUACUACAAUGCUACGGACAAAGGGCAGCAAGUUCGCGAGGACAAGCAAAUCCCAUAAACCGUGGCUCAGUUCAGAUCGUAGGCUGCAACUCGCCUACGUG